UGGCAGGUAGUAGGCACUCAUCAAAUUUCUGAUUAUGAAUGAAAAUUAAUGCAAAUCAGAUUCUUAGAAGAGUUCAGAUCUCAUGCAACAUCCUCAUUUCUGAUUCAUUUUCAGUAGCCAGAAAUGUUAGUAGGCUAACACUUCAGUUUCUCUGCUAAAUAAUUGAUGAACUAAAAAGGACUAAAAAUAUCAAGAGAAUUCACCUGUAAGGAGGAGCUCUGCACGCCUUCCAUUGUCGGCCUUCAACUUACCUGCUUUGUAAAUUUAGGCAUUUUUAACAUUGAGUUUUCUUAAACUUCUGUCUCUGCCUCCCCAUUCUCCCUGCUGGGCACCUCCCCACCCCCUACCCCUGCCAGGCGCGUGCACGGGAACACACACACACACAAGUGGUAGAGGGUCUCAUCUCUCUUUGCCACCAGCCUGGCACCUAUGGAAACAAACAAGGUCUUGUGCAGCCACCUAGUGGUGUCUCUUCACCCCUGCAGUUCCCCAUGGCUUCUAAAGGAAAUAACAGAGGGCACUGGGAGGCACUGAGAUACUUUGAAGAUGGCCCACUUCCUCAAGGCAUCUGGGACCUCACCCAGAGGUCCCGGGGUGCUGAGCCUAAGAAGGAGAUGGAAGUCAAAGACCAGCGCGAUCAGACACACACCAUUAGAAAUACCUUUCUUCUCAUUUCAUACACCACCCUGCAGUACCACCGUGAGUGCUACCAUCCUGAGAGCACCUUGCCUUUGUGGAUUUGACCAGUUUUCACCUGAGUAGUAAUGUAUCCUACGUCCACUGGAACCUUCCUUUACCCACGGACAGCUCUGUGUAAGCCUUUCUCAUCUGCCUACAACUAUAAAUUAUUAGGUUUCUCCAUUUAAAAUAAACGGAAUUUCCCUCAAGCCUACGAUCCAUACUCAUCCACACCCACACUCCUCGCCAGUGUCUCCAAAGAGCAGUUUAUUUUGACCACUCUGUUCUGACCCCAUUCCCAUCUGGCUUCUGCCCUAAGCAUGAUGGAAAUUGCCCUUUUGGAGGUUG
rnacentral:lncRNA from 1 species